AUGUCUUACUAUUCAGAUCAUCAUACUUAUGCAAGCAACACUACAAACAAGACGGAAAGUAUACAAGAACUGAUAAGUAAGAUUUCCCAUCAAUUAGAUGAUUUAGCUCGGCAGCGAGGUAUUGUUUUUGAGGAUAGGCCUAGCUCUUAUGAUCCUUAUUCUAGAUGUCAUCCUUAUGUUCCUCCUACAUGCCAUAUUCGUGGAUUUCAGGGCCAUUCACCCGCUGAAUGUCAGCGUGGUUACUCUCACCCACCGGAUUGUUUUGGUAUGAGCUUUGCUCAACAACAUAGCUCAUGCCAAAACAAUUACACACAUGGGUGGCCUGAAAACCAGAACAUGUCAUAUAGGAACAACAACCCUAAGAUCUCAUCGCUUGCUUUUAGUAAUCAUAUGCAGGGAUUUAGGUAUGAUGGGGAGAGCAACAACUAUGCACCACAACAAUGCUAUUCACCUCCUACUCAUAUACCUCAACACUAG
rnacentral:rRNA from 1 species